GACCCCUGACAAUGGGCAAAAAGACACGUUGUCGGUCGUGCUAUUCUUUUAUCAGUCAGGGGCAGACACAAUGGCAGUCCUUUGUUAAUCCUAUUUUGAUGCCUGGCUUGGUGGCCAAAACUCUCUUAUGUCUAGGACUCAUAA
ensembl:snoRNA LOC120095740 small nucleolar RNA SNORA48